CCGUGCCGAGAUUCGAACUCGGGACAUCUGACAACCGAGGCGAGCUUGUUACCAAUACUCCACCAGCGCACG
rnacentral:tRNA from 11 species